UCAGUGAAGUGAUAGGAGGAAGCCACACUGCAGGAGGCUGAGGAAUAAAUGCAAAAUGAGAAAAGGAAGACGGCGUUUAUAGGCAACCCUUUGAAGAAGCUUAGCUCUGGCAAGAAGAGGAAAAACAGCAGUAGGAGAUGGAAGGUCUGUCUACCAAGAGUGAAAGGAAAGAAGCAGAACGCUUGAGAAGAACAGUGAAGGCUGGAAGUGGUUGCGGGGUGAAUGGGAAAAGCCACGGUUUCUCUGUGACGAGGGAUUUCAUUUUUAGCCUCCCCCUUCUUCAGCUGUAACAAGAAGGAAAAAGGAAUGUACUUUCUGUUAAGAGAAAAACUCUAAAAAACCUGACAGCAGGAAUGACUGCUUAAAAUCUGAGACAAGUAAACCAACAUAAUGAAGUGCUGCUUUAAGAUUUUAAACUUAGAAGCUCAUUUGUAAAGAUUAAGAACUAAAUUUCUAAAGAAAUCUAAGUCAUAAACCGGAAAAGAAAGUCUCCUUAAAUCUAUCACUUACUGUUUACAGGAAAAACUUUAUAUAAGCCUUAAUACAGAUGCUCAGCAUUAGAAACUGUAAAAUGGAGUUAUAAUCUCUUAUUAGAAAUGUCUGCAAACAUUUAUCUAUAUUGCACAGCUAAAUUUAUUAAUGGAGAAAGGGAGAUAAUACUUCUUUCUUGCACUAUUGGAUAUGACAUGUAUGUUCUAUUCUAAACUACCUCCUACCUUUCCCAAUAAUGCCUUUAUUUCAAAACAAAGCAUAUAAUCUAAAUUGUGUUGGAUGCUUAAAGGUUGGCUCACUGUUUUUCUACCAGGUAUUUGAAUGCUAGUUAGCUAAAUGAGGUAUAAUUAAAAAUAGUCCUUCAAAAUAAAGAGUAUAGUCUUCUGAAAAUUUAUAACAAAGACUGCACAAAAUGUUCAUGUAAAUAGUAAGAAACCCUGCAGCACCUCCUAACUGAUGCACAGGUGGGUUAUUUUCUCAUAAUCUGUCUGAAGUAAAAUAGAGCUAAAAUAAGUUCCCAGUGAAACAUUUUAUAAUCAACUGAUUUACAUGCUACUUAGUUACAGCACAUUUUCAUUGUCUGAUGCCCUCAAACUCUAUUUUAAAAGGUCUAGUCCAAUCACCGGCAGAAAGGAGCACACUGAUAAUAAAGUGCAGCCACUGAAUACCACUAAUACUGCUGCAAAAAUCUUCAUGUACCUGAUCCAUAAGACCACAAAAAUGUUCACACAAAACUAGAUUUCUUCCAUUUCAGCAGGGAACAGACAAUUAUCUCUCACUAAAUUCAUCUACAAAUAGAAAA